CACCUUUCUAUCAGAACCAGCAUUAACUUCUACAGCAGUUUGAGCUACAGUACCUCGUCUGUUGGAUCGUACCACACGGGCCAGCCUUCCCUCCCCACGUGUAUCAAUAGGCCUUGGCCGCCCAUGACCCUGUCGCCGGUUUACCACUGUUCCUUUCUUGGACCACUUUUAAUAGAUAUUGACUAUCACUGCAGACCAGGAACACCCCACAAGAGCAGCAGUUUUGGAGAUGCUCUGACCCAGUCGUCUAGCCAUCACAAUUUGGCCCUUGUCAAACUCACUCAAAUCCUUACGCUCGCCCAUUUUGAAGAUAAAAUGUUCACUUGGUGUCUAAUAUAUCCCACCCACUAACAGGUGCCGUGAUGAAGAGAUAAUCAGUGUUAUUCACUUCACCUGUCAGUGGUCAUAAUGUUAUGCCAGGUCGGUGUGUAUUUGUCUGACACAUGGUCCUUUCGAUGUAUGCCCAGUCCACCAAUCCCUUCUUAUAUACCCAUACUUCGGCCUCGGGUACGGAGAGCCACGCCCUGAUCUCUGUGCUCCUCCAAGGUCCUUACACAGCAUUGAUAACCCCACCUUUUUAGUCCAGUCUUUUCCCACCCAGCAGUCUUUUGUCUACUACAGGCAUUUCCAACUGUGUCCAUUAGGGGGCGCCCAGCCAACUCUGCGCUUUUCCACUUCUGUACAGGCACCCAAGGUCCUUACACGGCGUUGAUAACCCCACCUUUUAUUACUCAAGUCUUUUCCAACCCAGAAGACAUUUACAGGCAUUUCCAAUUGCAUCCACUAGAGGGCGUACCCAGCCGACCGGUAGCACAGCCGAGAUCCAAACUCAGGGAGCUCAGAAUCCCAGGACUGAUGUGCUAGCCAGCCAAUGGCGUCCAAGAAGGGUGUAUAUUCGCCUGACACACCCUCCCUCCGACGCAUACACAGUGUAUUUGAAGACCCCCUCCCCUUAGUCCAGUCUUUUCCCACACAGCAGACUGGUGGGCAAUUUUGUCAGCUACAGGCAUUUCCAAUUGCAUCCACUAGAUGGCGUACCCAGCCGACCGGUAGGAGAGCCGAGAUUCGAACUCAGGGAGCUGAUGUGCUAGCAUAAUAUCCCGCCACACCACCUGGGCGGCCCUAAAACGAAUGCUUUUUAAGCCAUAUUUUAAACAUAUUUAGCUUCCCAUUGGCGUUCCAGUUGACGGCACACCUCAACAUACUUGUGCGUUUAAACAGGGUGACCAUAUGUCCUCUUUUUCCCGGACAUGUCCUCUUUUUUGGACCUAAAAAUGUCCAGGAGUCUGCUUUUGUAGUGUAUUCGGUGCCACCACUUACAUGACAUGACUUUGCCAAUCCUCCCCGCCCCAUUCCCACCAAACCUUUCAACCCAGUGAAGGUGUCCAUCUGGGCUAUGCUGCCAUCCUGCCAAGUGGCCAAUUUUUAGAAAACCAAAAUACGGUCAUACUAAUUUGAACAUGGUUGACAAGUUGGCAAGUGUGUUAAUUGGUCGAAUAUCGCCUGGCACCCUGUUUUAUUUUUGUCUUGUGUUGUGCAGAACUUGGUGUUGCCAAAGACACCACAACAAUCAUCCUGACUUAAAAUCACUGAACGCUUUACUCUGUAUUAAUGUAUCAUCAAAUGAAACUAUACCUUUGGAACAUUUACUCCACCCCAGACCAACCGAGCAACAUAAACAAGACAAGCAUCCAUGGAACUUAAAAACAUUCCUGCUUUGGAAUGACAAGCUGGAAAAACCUGAAUGCACGCCCUGAGAAACUCGCCAACCCAGAGCUCAUCAAGGGUUCUGCCCUGCGAUUAAAAUAGAACCGCUGCCCUAAAGACCAGCUCUGUCAGCAAACACAGAGAAGACAGGUACAUCUGGACUGAAGAUGAUAUAAGGAGUCUAUAUCUGUGGAUCUUAAAGCGAGAACUAAGACAGCAAAGAAACUCAAAGCAAAAAAGGUCUGAGCCCUGAGCCUGGACUUUAGCCAUGGAGGAAGAUUACAUCCAUAAGGCCCACCCUGAUGUCAUCAGGCAGCAGCACAAGACCAACGUGGACGCCGGCUAUUCCGAAAAGAGACAGACAGAAUCCAGGUCCAACGGCUGUAUGCAGUGCUGCAUGAAGACCAAGAGAUGCGUGAUGAGCCCAGAAUGCGGCCGGGCGCUCAGCAUCGCUAAUGUCAUCGCCAUGUGUGGCAUGUGUAUCCGCAUGUGGACAUAAAUGCUGAAUCACGGCCGAAUCUCAAAACUUUCCGUCUCCUGGGUGGCUGUGACCCAAAACCGAGAACAAAAGAAGAACUUCAUGGUUAUGGAAUCUAAGUCAAUAAUAAUCGGGCGGUACCACACCUUUGUAUCAGGCUACACCCUGUGUUAAUCAUUGCUAAAAUGUACAGUGUCUUUUAUUGUGUAUUUUGUAAGUGUCCCUGAACUUAUGGUACAUGGUAAUUUCCUUUACAAGUCUUUCCAAGAUACUAUAUGGUUUAUUUAUUAUUUUGUUUUUAUUUUUGUUAAAUGCAUCACCACUUAAAACCUAAUUGUAAAAUGUUCUAUUUAUUCAGUGUAAACUUUACCUUGUUUAACUCAUCUGUUUAACUUUGAGUAAAUCACAGUCAGUAAACACAUGAUUGAAUAGUGUUUGAGUCCUGUUAGCUAACCUACUGUGCUACAUACAUUUAAUAACCAACAGAACAUCACAGUAAUGUAAGUCAGUUAGUAUACACACACACGCACACACGCACACACACACACACACACACACACACACACACACACACACACGCACACACACA